rnacentral:sRNA from 1 species
UUUUUUGUUUCUUCUU